UACGGAGGAUGCAAGCGUUAUCCGGAAUCAUUGGGCGUAAAGCGUCCGCAGGUGGCACUACCAGUCUGCCGUCAAAGAAUGGAGCUUAACUCCAUCAAGGCGGUGGAAACUGUAGAGCUAGAGUACGGUAGGGGUAGAGGGAAUUUCCAGUGUAGCGGUGAAAUGCGUAGAGAUUGGAAAGAACACCAGUGGCGAAAGCGCUCUACUGGGCCUGUACUGACACUGAGGGACGAAAGCUAGGGGAGCGAAAGGG
rnacentral:rRNA from 1 species